UGGGGAAUAUUGGACAAUGGGCGCAAGCCUGAUCCAGCCAUGCCGCGUGUGUGAAGAAGGCCUUCGGGUUGUAAAGCACUUUUGUUGGGGAAGCGGUACCCAAAGAAUAAGCACCGGCUAACUUCGUGCCAGCAGCCGCGGUAAUACGAAGGGUGCAAGCGUUACUCGGAAUUACUGGGCGUAAAGCGUGCGUAGGUGGUUUGUUAAGUCUGAUGUGAAAGCCCUGGGCUCAACCUGGGAAUGGCAUUGGAUACUGGCAGUCUAGAGUGCGGUAGAGGGUAGUGGAAUUCCCGGUGUAGCAGUGAAAUGCGUAGAUAUCGGGAGGAACAUCCGUGGCGAAGGCGACUACCUGGACCAGCACUGACACUGAGGCACGAAAGCGU
rnacentral:rRNA from 1 species